GACGAACGCUGGCGGCGUGCUUAACACAUGCAAGUCGAGCGGUAAGGCCCUUUCGGGGGUACACGAGCGGCGAACGGGUGAGUAACACGUGGGUGACCUGCCCUCAGCUCUGGGAUAAGCCUGGGAAACCGGGUCUAAUACUGGAUAUGACUCCAUGACGCAUGUUGUGGGGUGGAAAGCCUUGUGCGGCUGAGGAUGGGCCCGCGGCCUAUCAGCUUGUUGGUGGGGUGANGGCCUACCAAGGCGACGACGGGUAGCCGGCCUGAGAGGGCGACCGGCCACACUGGGACUGAGACACGGCCCAGACUCCUACGGGAGGCAGCAGUGGGGAGUCUUGCGCAAUGGGCGAAAGCCUGACGCAACGACGCCGCGUGAGGGAUGACGGCCUGGU
rnacentral:rRNA from 1 species